rnacentral:misc_RNA from 1 species
GAUGAAGAACGUAGCGAAAUGCGAUAAGUAGUGUGAAUUGCAGAAUUCAGUGAAUCAUCGAAUCUUUGAACGCGCAUUGCGCCCCUUGGUAUUCCAUGGGGCAUGCCUGUUCGAGCGUCAUUUGUACCCUCAAGCUUUGCUUGGUCUUGGGUGUUUGUCCUCUCCUUUGCGUUUGGACUCGCCUUAAAGCAAUUGGCAGCCAGUGUUUUGGUAUUGAAGCGCAGCACAUUUUGCGAUUCUAGCCGAUAAUACUUGCGUCCAUAAGCCUUUUUUAACUUUUGACCUCGGAUCAGGUAGGGAUACCCGCUGAACUUAAGCAUAUCAAUAAGCGGAGGA